CCUACGGGAGGCAGCAGUGGGGAAUAUUGGGCAAUGGAGGAAACUCUGACCCAGCGACGCCGCGUGCGGGAUGAAGGCCUUCGGGUUGUAAACCGCUUUCAGUAGGGAAGAAGCGAAAGUGACGGUACCUACAAAAGAAGCACCGGCUGACUAUGUGCCAGCAGCCGCGGUAAUACAUAGGGUGCAAGCGUUGUCCGGAAUUAUUGGGCGUAAAGAGCUCGUAGGUCGUUUGUUACGUCGGAUGUGAAAACCUGAGGCUCAACCUCAGGCCUGCAUUCGAUACGGGCAAACUAGAGUUUGGUAGGGGAGACUGGAAUUCCUGGUGUAGCGGUGGAAUGCGCAGAUAUCAGGAGGAACACCAAUGGCGAAGGCAGGUCUCUGGGCCAAUACUGACACUGAGGAGCGAAAGUCUGGGGAGCGAACAGGAUUAGAUACCCUGGUAGUCCAGACCGUAAACGGUGGGCACUAGUUGUGGGAACCUUCCACGGUUUCUGCGACGCAGCUAACGCAUUAAGUGCCCCGCCUGGGGAGUACGAUCGCGAGAUUAAAACUCAAAUGAAUUGACGG
rnacentral:rRNA from 1 species